AUAAGACUUUCUCGUCUCGAGUCAUACUGUCUUCGGAUGCCUCGGGAUGUAUUUUAGUCCCUAUACGCCACGUGCGGGCCGGCCCUCACCUGCAAGUCUGCUGACCCUGAACGACCCUCAUUUUCUGUGCACCGGAAGUGCUUGGCCUUCUUGGCGGCUGCUCCCCGGCAGUGGUUUCCCUCCCGCCUCAGCCUCGGGGCGGUCCAGCUGUCCGUUGACCUGGGUUCUGGCCCACAACACUUUCUGUAAGCAAGAACCCUGGACGUCAUGACUAAGGAAGAGAUCUCGUGUUUAUUCUUGAGCUCUUCCGCGAGGUGAGAGACUCAUUUGAACAAGAGAGGCGGCUGCCAAAGCACACUGAACUUGCCUCGGAUAUUCAGGAGUUCGUUUGGGCUUUCCCCGUCAUUCCUUAUCUGGCCAGCAUUUACCAGAAAUAAAAAUAUGUAUUUCGAUUGUUGAUUCUGCGUAAAAAUAGAUUGUUUAAAUCCAAACCUGAAGCUCUGAAGGAAGAAUGUAUAUUAUUGCCCUGGUGCCAAGUGGUACCUUCUGCUUCGGUCGAGUAGUGAGAGAAGAGAGAUGGGCUAAGUACAUAAAUGCUGCGUUUCUCCCAGUGAAUACCACAGGACCUCAGUGCCGGUUGUUUGAGUGGACUUUGUUCUUCCGAGAAGAGAGAAGCAUGCCUGGGUGGAACCCAUUCGAAGGGAGGACAACCCCAAGUCGUAUGCAGUGAGAGCAUCCAGCUCUUGAGAGAGGUGUAGUUUGCUUCUGCAGGCCCAUACGAGACUUCUCAUCACCCACUUUUUCUUUUUUAUGAGAGUGAAAACCAACUCUAGUCACCUGAAGAAAGAGAAGGCUUUGAUUUCCAUGUGAUGAGAGGUACAGGUGCAUGCAGGAGCUUCAGGGACGCCCUAAGGUAUUCUGGCACCAGCAGGGUUCUCCUCCUGCCCUACUGUCUGGAAGAUUUCACAUUCCGUGCACCUCAUCUUCCUCACCCAACAACGAUGUUUUGUGUCUUGAUCCCAGUUGAAGAGCCUGGCACACAAACAGCCUAGGCUAUUCAUUCCUGGAGCAAUUUUACAUAUGCAAGACGGAAGCCAAGACUGAUGUCUUCAUCCCAGACGUGCUCGUUCACACACAUUCCGGGUGAACGAGUCAUGCUCAGGAGUCAGAGCAGGAAGUGGCUACUGUUGGAUGAAGGAUUCUGCAGGAAAAGAUGAAAGAUGCUUCAUGUCUCUGGGAGUGGAGAAAGAGAAAAGAGGCCAGUCUUUUCUGCAGCUGUCACGGUGAAAAGUUCCAGGUUCGGGGGAACCAGGAAGGGUGUGGUUCCAGAUAGUGAAGGCGUCUGUGGACUGUCUGCCAUUUCCGACACCUGGCGUGAGUUGAGGCAGCCUCCGUACCUUCGUUGCCGUCACGGUCAAGUGGGGCUAACAUUUAUCUUCUUCGAGUUAUGCCCUCUUACGUGCUUGCCUACUCACGUGUAUUUGCAACGUGCCUUAAGUUCCUCAGAUUCCUGCCCGAAGCAAAGUGUGGCAGAGGACAGAGCUUGGAGAGCUUUGCAAAUUUGCAGCUUGGGAACACUUCAAAGCCUGUUCUGGAAGCUGGAAGUCCAGGAUCAAGGUGCCGGCAGAUUCGGUGUCCGGUGAGUAUGUGCUUCCUGGUUCAUAGAUGGUCGUCUUCUUACUGUGUCCUCACAUGGUAGAAGGUAUGAGGGGGCUCUCUGGGGUGUCUUUUAUGGGCACUAAUCCCAUCAUGAGGGUGACACCCUCAUGACCUCAUCACCUCCCGAAGGACCUAACAGCAUCACAUGGGGGUUAGGAUGUCAACAUACAAAUGGAGGGUGGGUGGAGACACAUUUAGUCAGUGACUGUUACAUAUGGUGCUUUCAAAAAAAAGGUUCCUCAUCAUUGCCAUUGUCAUUAUUCUGGCACAAAAUGCCUGUGAGGUAGGGUUGCCUAUGGGUUGUCAAUAUAGACACUGAUAUUACCAACUGGGAAAAUGAGAGAGAGUGUAAAUUGUGUUCCUCCUCCCACCAGGUACAGUUCAAUAGUGUUUCAAGGCUAGGGAAGAAAAAGGAAGGCACAACACUCUGAGAUAAAAAAAUUCUUGCUCCUCCCUUUUGGCGUUUCACAUUGUAAAUAACACAAUGGGAAUAUGUUCAUUAUAAAAAAGUAUGUAUGUCCCAAUGUAAGAAGCUAAAUGCUGAGGGUUAUUGGUAUCUCAAAAUAAUGGAUACAUAGGUAGCUCUCCAAAAAGGGAUGAAAAAAAUAUGUGGUUGAUUAUCUGGAAAAAUGUUGCAUAAAUUCUUUCCUCAACGUGAAAA